UGGGGGAUAUUGCACAAUGGGGGAAACCCUGAUGCAGCAACGCCGCGUGAAGGAUGAAGGUUUUCGGAUUGUAAACUUCUUUUCUUAAGGACGAUAGUGACGGUACUUAAGGAAUAAGCCACGGCUAACUACGUGCCAGCAGCCGCGGUAAUACGUAGGUGGCGAGCGUUAUCCGGAUUUACUGGGUGUAAAGGGCGUGUAGGCGGGAUUGUAAGUCAGAUGUGAAAUUUACGGGCUCAACUCGUAACCUGCAUUUGAAACUGCAAUUCUUGAGUGUUGGAGAGGCAAGCGGAAUUCCCGGUGUAGCGGUGAAAUGCGUAGAUAUCGGGAGGAACAUCGGUGGCGAAGGCGGCUUGCUGGACAAUAACUGACGCUGAGGCGCGAAAGCGUGGGGAGCAAACAGG
rnacentral:rRNA from 2 species